rnacentral:misc_RNA from 1 species
AUGAGGUUAGUAUUUUAAAGUUAGAUUUUAUUUAAUAAUAUAAUGAGAGGUGAUAUUUAAAAUAUUUAAUGAAUAGUAUGGUAUAAAUAUAAAUUAGUUUGAGUGGUUAUUUAAUUAGGGGAUUAUUGGUUUUUAAUAUUGUAUUAGUGAUUUUAGUAAUAAUUAUAGUUAUUAUUAUUUAGUAGUUAUUGUUAAUAUAGAGUAUUAUAAUUAAUUAUUUGGU